CCCCAAGCUGGGCCAACUCUGGGUGCAGUGUUGGGAGCAGUCCUGCAGCUCUGAGAUCCACUAGUUGGAGGUGGGAGAAGUGCCAGAUUCCACUGAUUUGGAACCUGCCCAGUCUGAUUCCGGAGCCGUGACUUGCAGCACAUUGGCUACCAGAAGACGCCCAAAG
rnacentral:lncRNA from 1 species